AAAGUUGAAAAGAACUUUGAAGAGAGAGUUCAAAAGGGCGUGAAACCGCUUAGAAUAAAACGGACGGAGCCGUCUGCAGCUCGUCGGAAUCAGUCGAAUCGAAGCGUGAAAACGGGUCGGCGAAUACGGGAACGAAAGUCCCCGUCGUCUCGUACGGAUAUAAGAGAGUAGCGUUCGUUCGAUGCAUUUCCGGCGGGUAAGCACCGCGACCGACGCGAAAGCUAACGUAGCCUUCGGAUUGAGGGCGAGCCCGUUCGCGGGACUCGUAACCAGUCCGUCGGUGGAUAUAGAAUUCGUUAGACGGUAGCGUCGAGAGAUGUAUUUUAACGGAGAGCCGGUGGAUAUAUAUAUCGCUCGCCUAUCGCGACGGAGGUAUCGCCGACCGAUCGUUCCCUGCUCGCAGGUUGCGGUCCGAGUCCGCGCGGUAUCCAAAGUCGUCGGCGACGUUUCCGGCUUUCCGGCUUCCGCGGUGUCCGAGUCGGUCACCCGUCCGACCCGUCUUGAAACACGGACCAAGGAGUCUAACGUAAGCGCGAGCUAAUGAGUGGAAAACUCAUAAGCGCAAUAAAAGUAAAGGUCGUUUCGGACGGCCGAGGUACGAUCCCGAAUAGAGGAGAAGUAUUCGGGCGCAGUACCGUCCCGUCCCGACCGCGCGUCGGUAGGGCGGAGAUAGAGUGCGUACGUUGGGACCCGAAAGAUGGUGAACUAUGCCUGAGCAGAGCGAAGCCAGAGGAAACUCUGGUGGAGGUUCGUAGCGGUUCUGACGUGCAAAUCGAUCGUCAGACUU
rnacentral:rRNA from 1 species